UCCUUCGUGGCGCACUCGUCGAGGCCCGU
rnacentral:sRNA from 1 species